GGCCGGUUAGCUCAGUUGGUUAAGCACGGUGCUGAUAACACCAAGGUCACGGGUUCGAUUCCCGUUCGGUCC
rnacentral:tRNA from 1 species